UACGAAGGGGGGCUAGCGUUGUUCGGAAUUACUGGGCGUAAAGCGCACGUAGGCGGACAUUUAAGUCAGGGGUGAAAUCCCAGAGCUCAACUCUGGAACUGCCUUUGAUACUGGGUGUCUUGAGUAUGGAAGAGGUGAGUGGAAUUCCGAGUGUAGAGGUGAAAUUCGUAGAUAUUCGGAGGAACACCAGUGGCGAAGGCGGCUCACUGGGUCCAUUACUGACGCUGAGGUGCGAAAGCGUGGGGAGCAAACAGG
rnacentral:rRNA from 1 species